CCCUUGGCAGACCCUGCGGCGGUGCUGGGGGUCGGGUCUGUGUGCGCUUCCCCCGCCCCCGGCCGUCCCUCCGCGGAGCAGCACUUGCCCUAUACUCCACUGGUGAGGCCACACCUCAAGUACUGCGUCCAGUUCUGGGCUCUUCAGUCCACAAAGGAGACUUGAGGUGCUGGAGCAAGUCCAAAGAAAGGAAACAAAACUGGUCUGGAACACUAAUCCUGUGAGGAGCAGAUUUGAGACAACACUUGACUGGGCACAUACAAGCAGACAGGAAAAUAGAGAGAAUCGAGAAGUCAUUAAUGGUCAGCAAGGGGAGGACAAUACUUCCAGCACACCUGCAGCAUAAAAGUUUCAAGAUUUUUGCUGGAAAGCUUUGAAAAGCACAACACAUUCACUCCAUAAAUGCUUGUGGCAUCCUUCACUCAUAAUGUGAUGGCUGAAGGAGGAAGUGCCAAAGGGAUGCACUGAGAAAUGUAACGCAUGACCAGUUAUUGGCUGGAAUCAGCAUCUUUAUGGAGACUAAGGGAUAACAACACAGUGCAAACAUGCUAAAGAAGUUCUUGAAAAUGAAGACAAGGAUGUAUUUGAUGAGCAAGUAAAAAGAGCAGAGAAUAAAUGUGUGGAGUUCAAAGACAAACUGAUGGAAAAGACCUGAAAGAAACAAAUAGAGGGCAGGAGCUGUUAACAUAAUGUGGUAAGGUUUAACUCAGCAAGUCCCUAAGCUGCUGGCUAUAGAAGAAAGAAAGGAACCCUCUCUAUUUCUAGGUUUUUGCUUAUCUCUGGCUCUCCACAGGUGAUUUCAAGGAGUGCAAGGUGGCAGAAGUAAGAAAAUGAAACACCCAAAUGCUCACAAGCUUAAAGCUAUGAGCAAGGGGAUGUUAAAGAAUCCACAUAGGGAUGGAGAGUCUCUGGUUCUGCAGCACCUGAGCUGUGUGGCCUCAUUUCUUUGAUGAAGAAACAGGUACCUUCUACACAAAUGUGAGGAAAUAUGGGCACACCAAUUUCCAUUUUUUAUUGUAGACAGAAUCAGAUUUGAGCUUAUGCCAGUGGUUGUGACAAGGCUAGAGUCUGCAUGUGAAGAUAUCCAAAUCCUCUUGACAUGUGUUCUCUUUGAAGUCUGAAAGCAAAUUAAUAAAAGGAGAAAGAAAAGGAGGCAAAUAAUUUACUGGCUGAACUUUCACACAACAGGCAAUAAAAGAAACUUGAAAACCA